rnacentral:rRNA from 1 species
GGAAUAUUGGACAAUGGGGGGAACCCUGAUCCAGCCAUGCCGCGUGUGUGAAGAAGGCCUUUUGGUUGUAAAGCACUUUAAGCGAGGAGGAGGCUCCCUAGACUAAUACUCUAGGAGAGUGGACGUUACUCGCAGAAUAAGCACCGGCUAACUCUGUGCCAGCAGCCGCGGUAAUACAGAGGGUGCAAGCGUUAAUCGGAUUUACUGGGCGUAAAGGGUACGUAGGUGGUCUUUUAAGUCGGAUGUGAAAUCCCUGAGCUUAACUUAGGAAUUGCAUUCGAUACUGGGAGACUAGAGUAUGGGAGAGGAUGGUAGAAUUCCAGGUGUAGCGGUGAAAUGCGUAGAGAUCUGGAGGAAUACCGAUGGCGAAGGCAGCCAUCUGGCCUAAUACUGACACUGAGGUACGAAAGCAUGGGGAGCAAACAGGAUUAGAUACCCCAG